rnacentral:lncRNA from 1 species
GACCCAUAAAGAAGUUUGUGGUAAAUCCCAUAUCUCAGAACUGGGCAGACAGGCCCAAUGCAUAACCAUGAAGCUCAGAACAAAUCUUAUGUCUGUGUACAAAAGGCCAGAGAAAGAAAAUUCUCAUUCUCCACUGUUUCCUUCCCUUCUGAUUGAGGGGCUGGCCUGGAGGUGCCUGAUCCAUUGGGAGUUGUGCCACUACUGUACCUUACAAACGGAGCAAGGUAACCUUGUCAGCCCACUACACAGUGAAGUUCACUUCAAGGACACUCACCUUCCUGCCUCUCUUGCUGUGAUUGAUCAAGCUGAAGAUUGUCAUCGAUACCUACGGCUGCCGGUCUCUACUAUAAAUGCUUCAGAUAGCUCAACAUAUCACAUGAAUUUCACCCUAACUAUAAAAGCACUGUACCACCACUUUCUGUGGUAACUGUAGAAGCAAGGCUAAAGAAAUGUUGCAUCUCAUACCUUCAGGAGAACCUCCCAGCCUUAAUACUUUCUGCUCAUGUUGGUGUUAAGUCCACAGAUGCCAGAAGAGUAUCAGCAUGUAUGUCUUCUGAGCCUUGCAUAUGUGCAGCUCAUGGCAACCAUACAUGGCAGAAUCAUAUGAAAAAAGAUGGUGAGAGGCCACUUGCAUGCUUGGACUCUCCAGUGAGGACUUUAAAGCAUCAUGGUGAGCAGGAUUCAGGUUCCUUCUUCCUCUGACAGCAGCACCUCUUUCUGCCCCUGCUGUACCUACUGUCAGACCUGAGCCCUUGCAGGGAGGAGCUCAGCACAGCUCAGCUCCCGGCCCGGGUAGUGCUGGCGGGGUGAGCUUUGCUUUCCCUGUGAGCGGGGCAUGGUAACCCUCACUGCCAAUUACUCUCUGUCUAGUGAAACUUAAAUAGUUGGAGAAGAAUUUUGGGGGGCAUAAUAUGUGCUAAGGUCUAUUCAGAGCCUAAAAGUCAUCCUGGCCUUCGCUUCCUCAGUCGGGGUGAAAGCUGUUGAUGGAACAAAGGGUUGAAAACCAGAGUUUUGAGCCGUUGUGUGCCAUAAUCAAUCUUUUUAAAAUAUUCACUGAAGAAAGAACUUCCUUCUGGAGCACACGUUGUUUACAGGCUGAAUUCCAUGCUGAAGUUGUUAUUUAUAGCUACUAUGAAUCUUUUAAAGGAGAACAGCCUCUAACUGCAGUAAGGGAUGCGGCUUUAAUAGUACGAUACUUGCAGAGGUUGGUCAAAAUGUACGGCAGCCAUUUUUUUUGUAGCCAAAGCAUUGCAAACAAAGAAAUAUAAAAUGAGCUACACCCAUGCUGAUGCCAGCAAUGACAAUUACAGAGUGCAUAAAAAGCAGAUGAAGGAGUACCUGGGGCAGCCUCCUAGUUGGCUGCCAGUUUUCUAAUCAUUGGCCGUUCAUUACUUCAGUUUCUUUGAGUUUUGUAUACACAGGAGAAC